AGGGGACAGGGACAGGGGCGGGGACUAAUAUCCUAGGAGGAAGGCUUGCUAGUGCUGUGAGGGGGAGGUUGAUUUAGGAGACGCAGGGGAUUCGGUUGUUGUUCAGACCAAACAUCAGAAUGCGUGGUAGGGGGGAAGAAAUGGCAUCUAAGUCACAUUGACGGUGGAAUGAUUGCUGGUGCCAGAUAGGGUGGUUUAAGUAUUUCAGAAACUGCUGGGAUAUACACACACAUACACACCAGUCUCUAGAGUUUCUUCUUUGGGAGAAACAACAACCACCACAACAAAUCCAGCGAGCGGCAGUUCUGUGGGUGAAAAUGAGACGGGUCGGAGGAGAAAGGCUCAAGCUGACGGGAAGGCGACGGUAACUCGAAUAACCAGGAGGACAACAGCUUGAAGUGGACGGGCUACAGCAGCAGACCCAGCGGCCGCUUCACCAGAUGUUUAGAGUUUGUUAGUUUCACAGGGGGCCGGGAAGCGGAGCCCCAGGUCAGUAAGGGAAGGAUCGGACCAGAAGGUGGAUGUCAGGGAAAGUAUCGAAAGGCAAAAUCGAAAUAACAGCGCUUGUCAAGACUUGAGCACAGCACAGUAAUGCUUUGCUGCCUGCUUGCAUUCAGCCUUGCCUGAGGAAUUGGACUGUCGAGUCAAUUGACUCUGAAGACGAGCGGUUUUCGUUUUAUUCCUUUCAGCCGCAGUGUUGGCUUCGUUUUCCAUUUGACAGUCUCAGUUAACGGCCCUGUUUGGCCAAGCGUUUAUUGCUUUC